UAUGUCUGUGACAAUAGGAUAGUGAGAGCAAAGGGAAAAAAAAGAUGAGGUUUUAAUCUUCUAAGAGAAGCUCACAGAGAAAAAACUAACACCAGUUGGUGAGAACUUAACAUACUUCCAAAGAUGAUAAAAGAUCCUGGCCAAAUGAAAAACAGCUGAGAUCCAGAAAGGGCUGCUGAUUAAAGACACUGCAGAGAAGCAUGCCAAAAAGGCAAUAAAUAAAUGCAUUAAAGUGGAAAGGUGAUGCUCUGAGCAUUGAAAUUUCUUCAGAGGUCAGAGAAGGCUACCCUCAGAUAUAAAAGAAUCCUCAGGCUCUGGGAAGUUACAUGACCAACAAAGAGAUAAGAAGUGAGGUGCAGAAAGGUGAGAAGUCAGGAACAGGAAGUUAUGGGAUUGCUGCUGGCCAAUUUCACGUGCUGGCAGCUUGGAGGGCUUGGAUGUUAUAAGAUACCAUCUCUGGUCAGAAAAGUUGUACCAUGUGCCAGAGCUCACGUAACUGUGAAGUUCAAAGAAGCUCCUCAAGAGACUUGUCCAUUUUUACAGAGGAAGAAACUGAGGCUCUAGGAGGUGGCCUGGCUGUCCCAAAACUACACAGCAAGUCGGCGGCAGCAGUACAUAUGGAACCCAGGGACUGGAUUCCCAGUUCUCUGUAUCAGCCUCAAUAUAUUCCUUCCUAAUUUUAUCUCUGCAUUGAUUUCUUUCUCCCCGGAUCUCUUUCCUUUCUCACUGCCUCUGUAAACCACCUUCGUACAAUCAACUAAUCUCUUCUGCAGGACUUUCUCUCCCAAGAUUUCUUUGUAUCCCUCUGAUUUUUUUCUUCUUUAUGGUUGUCCCUAGGAGUAGAACUCAUUGGGUGUAUCUACAUGUGCAAUUGGCACGUAGCAAUAAACUCUGGUACAGUUCGUGCCGGGGUUUAUUGCUCCCAUAUCCAGUGUUUACUUGUGUGCCUGGGACCACAGCAUGUUGAGCUGGGCUAGAUUAGCUGCCGCUGGCAGGGAUUCUGGGGGGUCAGCCAGGGGCUGCUUUGCCCUGGCUC